rnacentral:misc_RNA from 1 species
GAAAGGAGAGAAGUAAUGUGAAUUGCAGAAUUCAGUGAAUCAUCGAAUCUUUGAACGCACAUUGCGCCCGCCAGUAUUCUGGCGGGCAUGCCUGUCCGAGCGUCAUUUCAACCAUCAAGCCCCCGGGCUUGUGUUGGGGACCUGCGGCUGCCCGCAGGCCCUGAAAACCAGUGGCGGGCUCGCUGUCACACCGAGCGUAGUAGCAAUCACCUCGCUCAGGGCGUGCUGCGGGUUCCGGCCGUUAAACAGCCUUACAAAACCCAAGGUUGACCUCGGAUCAGGUAGGAAGACCCGCUGAACUUAAGC